AGCGAACGCUGGCGGCAGGCUUAACACAUGCAAGUCGAGCGGGCAUCCUUGUGGUGUCAGCGGCAGACGGGUGAGUAACGCGUGGGAACGUGCCCUUCGGUUCGGAAUAACUCAGGGAAACUUGAGCUAAUACCGGAUACGUGCGAGAGCAGAAAGGUUUAUCUGCCGAAGGAUCGGCCCGCGUCUGAUUAGCUAGUUGGUGAGGUUAUGGCUCACCAAGGCGACGAUCAGUAGCUGGUCUGAGAGGAUGAUCAGCCACACUGGGACUGAGACACGGCCCAGACUCCUACGGGAGGCAGCAGUGGGGAAUAUUGGACAAUGGGGGCAACCCUGAUCCAGCCAUGCCGCGUGAGUGAUGACGGCCUUAGGGUUGUAAAGCUCUUUUCUCCGGGACGAUAAUGACGGUACCGGAGGUAUAAGCCCCGGCUAACUUCGUG
rnacentral:rRNA from 1 species